rnacentral:rRNA from 1 species
GAUGAACGCUAGCGAUAGGUUUAACACAUGCAAGUCGAGGGGCAGCACAAGGUAGCUUGCUAUCUGGGUGGCGACCGGCGCACGGGUGCGUAACGCGUAUGCAACUUGCCCUAUACAGGAGGAUAACCCGUCGAAAGACGGACUAAUACUGCGUAUGCUCACAACUUGGCAUCAAGUGGUGAGGAAAGAAAUUCGGUAUAGGAUAGGCAUGCGUCCCAUUAGCUUGUUGGUGAGGUAACGGCUCACCAAGGCAACGAUGGGUAGGGGAACUGAGAGGUUUAUCCCCCACACUGGUACUGAGACACGGACCAGACUCCUACGGGAGGCAGCAGUGAGGAAUAUUGGUCAAUGGGCGCGAGCCUGAACCAGCCAAGUCGCGUGAAGGAUGACUGUCUUAUGGAUUGUAAACUUCUUUUAUACGGGAAUAACAAGAGUCACGUGUGACUCCCUGCAUGUACCGUAUGAAUAAGCAUCGGCUAACUCCGUG